UGGUUAAGCGUCCGACUUUGGCUCAGGUCAUGAUCUCACGGUUCAUGGGUUCGAGCCCCACAUCAGGCUCUGUGCUGACAGCUCAGAGUCUGGAUCCUGCUUUGAAUUCUGUGUCUUCCUCUCUCUCUGCCCCUCCCCAGCUUGUGCUCUGUCUGUCUGUCUCUCUCUCAUAAAUAAACAUUAAAAAACUAAUGAGAUAGGCUUAUUAGGAUAUACUAUACAAAAACCAGCUCAUACUUAAAAUGUACGGUUUGAUGAGGUUGGACAUAUGUAUACAACUGUGAAAUCAUCAUGAUCAAGAUAAUAGACAUGUCACCUCCAAAAGGUUCCUUGUGUCCCUUUGGUUGUUUUUCUAAAAGCGCUUCACAUGAAAUGUCUCAAAAUUUUAAGUGCAUAAUACAGUACACCAGAUCUUUAGGACUAAUUCAGCCUGCGUAUCUGAAACUUUGUAUCAACAGAACAACUCCCCCUUAACCCUUUCUCUUGGUCCCUGGUAACCACAGUUCUAUUUUCUGAUUCUACAAGUAUGAUGAUUUUAGGUACCUCGUGUAAGUGGAACCAUGCAGUAUUUGUCCUUCUGUGGCUGGCUUAUUUCACUUAGCAUAAUGUCCUUCAGGUUUACCUAUGUUGUUGCAAAUGGCAGGAUUUCCCGUUUAUUUAUUUAUUUUUUACUUGUUAAAAUGUUUGUUUAUAUAUUCUGAUCAAGAGAGAGAACGAGCGAGAGCUGGAGAGAGCACGUGAGUGAACAGGGGAGGGGCAGAAAGAGAGGGACGGAGAGAAUCCCAAGCAGGCUCUGUGCUGUUGGCUCAGGGCCCUACUUGGGGCUCCAUCUUACAAACCAAACCGUGAGAUCAUGAUCUGAGCUGAAAUAGUCAGAUGCUUAACCAGCUGAGCCACCCAGGUGCCCCAGGAUUUGCCCUUUAAAGCAGAAUAAGACACUACUGUGUUGAUGCAAAAUGAACAAACCUUUUUUUUCUUUUUUAAGUUUCAAAGGAACAGACUUUUUUAUUCAAGCCCCAGUUUGGACAGCUGCCCCAGAUACACAAUCUUCACGAAGAAGAGAUCAUUCCAGGGAAGGAACAUUUGGUGCAGGGUUAUAUGUUUUGUUUUGUUUUGUUUUGUUUUGUUUUGUGUUGUUUUGUGUUGUUUUGUUUUACAUACUUACACAUCAUCAUGACAAAGGACAUUAUAGAAAGAGACUUUACCUAUGUUUUCAGUACGUGCAAGGCUGUGUGAAUUUAAUCUUGUGGGAACCAGGGAGGUUUUUUUUUUUUUUUCUUAUCUUUAUGUUUGGAAUGUUCUUUUCAUUGUUUUAGUGAAGCAGAUGUAUAGUGUUCUGGCCAGAAAUAGAGCUCAUGCUUCAAGAUUUUGCCAAGUCAUUUUGACCUUGGUAAAUGUUAAUGUUCCUUUAUUUCAUCAACUCUGUGAUGCAUGUAUAUAUAUUUAUUAAAAUAUAUAUAUUUAUCAUAUUUUCUUUAUCCAUUUCUCUUCAAUGGACAUUUAGGUUAUUUCCAUAACUUGGCUCUUGUGGAUAGUGCUACAAGGAGCAUAAGAAUGCAGAUAGGUCUUUGAGAUCCUGAUUUCCAUUCUUUUGAGUCUCUAUACCCAGGAAUGAGAUUGUUGGAUCAUAUGAUAGUUCUAGUUUUAAUUUUUUGAGGAAGUUUCAUGCUGUUUUCUAUAGCGGCUUGCCAUUUUACAUUCCUGUCAACAGUGUGCAAGGGUCCAAUUUCGCCACAUUCUUGCCAACACUUACUUUUUUUUUUUUUUUUUAAAUAACCAUCGUAACUGGUAUGAGGUGAUAUUUCAUUGUGGUUUUGAUUUGAAUUGCCCUCAUAAUUAGUGAUGUUGAGAAUCUUUUCUUAGACUUUUUGGCCUCUUAAAGGAGAGAUCGUCAGGAAGAAGAUAGGAGCAAUCAGGGCAUUGCAAGUCUUGAUUAUACAAAGACAUUAAUCAUGGGAACUCAAAUCCUCAUGUUCCAAGCCCUCCCCCAAAAAGAAAGAACAGGACUGAAAUCAACAUCUUUGAACGUGAAAUCUGGGGCAAGUGUGCAGGCUUUCUCAUAGGAAAGAUGUAGCAAAGUACAAGCUUGAUUAAAGCAGAUAAAGGGCUGAGUGUGGACACGUCUGGAAAAGAUGCUCCAGGAGGUAUCUCCAAGUCCGUGUCCUCCGAGUGUCCUCCGUGGUUCCUGAGGUCCUGGCACACCAGAGGCCAGACGCCCCAUGGCUGUAUUCGGCAGCCUCUAUCGCCACCAGGUAUCUCUUAGGGUAAGAGGUUGACUCAGAAUGCAGACACGAGUAGGGCGGAUGGAGGAUCUGUCACAUUGGCACGGUUUAUUAAAUUGACCAUGGGUGACAGGGAUACGUGGAAUCCGGAGCUCUGUCUUUAUGGUUGUAAUAACCUAGAGUUGAUGUACUUGAAAAAAAUAUUUGGUGCUAGCCGUCCCCGGGUUAUCACAUGAUCUGUAGCACAGUGCAAAUCACUACCCACUGGUGUAGCAUGGGGAGGAUUUGUGUUUCUAAGUUGCAUGUCUAGCCUAAGUGGCAACUGAGAGUAAUGUACAGUGAAGGGGACAAGAAAUUAGGUUUACUUGCCUGUAUUAGAAAUUUAAUAGAUGUUGUAUAUUCUCCUGUUAACAGUUUUUCCCCUUUUGUGACUGCUGCUUCGUCUUUUUCCACCAAUUGUAACACACGUUAUUCCUUGCCUCUCCUUCCACAUUUGCAUAAGUCUCAUAUCCACAGUCUUUAUAGAGCUCUGCAUUUUAUUUUCAGUCACUGCAUCUGUCAGAAGCAUAUUAUUACCAGUUGGCCCAACCAACUGCAAUCGACCCCAGAAAUUGUGUCCUUUAAGGACAGAAAACUGGACACUGGUGGUCACGAAUAAUUGUAGAAGUUACAGCCUCCCUAUUUAAAAGCUUUUCUUUUGAAAUAAUGUAAGGCUUACAUAAAAAUUGUGCAGGGAGUUCCUGUGGCUCUUACAGCAAAGUUCAGUCGAACAAAACUGUUUACAUUGUGAUAGUUCAUUUACCAGAAUUCAUAAAUUUACAUUGAUAGAGUAGUAUUUAACUGCAGUCAAAUCCGGAUUUCACCAGACUCAAACAGGCAGUCGCUCCUUUUUGUUAGGUUUUGUUUUCUUUGGUAUGGUACAUAACUAAAGACACUUUUUUCACUUGUAUAAAUCUGUAUGAAUCCUACCAGAAUACAGACACAGAAAUUCCUAAGAAACCCAGAGAAACUCCCUAUGUUCCUUCUUUUGGGGAUUUAUUUUGUUUAUAUUUUUUUUUAUCAUGAUAAGUGUACUCUUUAAUCCCCAUCCUCUAUUUCGUCCAUCCCCCCA